rnacentral:rRNA from 1 species
GUGGGAACGUACCCUUCGGUUCGGAAUAACUCAGGGAAACUUGAGCUAAUACCGGAUACGCCCUUUUGGGGAAAGGUUUACUGCCGAAGGAUCGGCCCGCGUCUGAUUAGCUUGUUGGUGGGGUAACGGCCUACCAAGGCGACGAUCAGUAGCUGGUCUGAGAGGAUGAUCAGCCACACUGGGACUGAGACACGGCCCAGACUCCUACGGGAGGCAGCAGUGGGGAAUAUUGGACAAUGGGCGCAAGCCUGAUCCAGCCAUGCCGCGUGAGUGAUGAAGGCCUUAGGGUUGUAAAGCUCUUUUGUCCGGGACGAUAAUGACGGUACCGGAAGAAUAAGCCCCGGCUAACUUCGUGCCAGCAGCCGCGGUAAUACGAAGGGGGCUAGCGUUGCUC